AUACGUUUCUCGGCCUUUUGGCUAAGAUCAAGUGUAGUAUCUGUUUUCAUCAGUUUAAUAUCUGAUACGUGGGUCAUUGGCUUAUAUGAUAUUAAAUUAAAUUUUUUAAGGGGAAAGAUCCAUCACAUUAGCUUGUUAUUGGGGCUUUUCGAAUGUCUCAUUGACGUUACACUACUGUCUAGGACUGGUGCACCCCAC